GAGAAUCUGGACAAAAAAAUAUUGUAUCAUUGUGCGCGCUUGUGGAAGAGAAGCAUCAUGGUUUUGAAAUUACUGUGUAUGUUGUAUAGUGUUGGAUAUUGCGUUCUUGGACAAUACUCGUAUGAUUAUAACAAUGACACAUAUGAUACUACGUCGUAUACGUAUGAUGACGUCAACAGCACAUACCAGUAUUAUGAUGAUGAUUACGAACUUCUCGGAUGCUACACAUGUAGCAAUUGCAGCGAUCCUUUUGACCCUACAACAGCUGAAAAAGUGAUAUGCGAAAUAUUCAUGUGUAACGCAUCAUGUACAUCGUAGAAAUAUCACUGAAGGCAAGAUCGUUUAUCGAGGAUGUGGUUAUACUAAGGAAGAUAGGUGCGGGGAGGAUUCAAAUGGUGACUCGUGGUGUCUGUGUACCAGUCAGUACUGUAAUAUGUGGACCAGUCAGAACUCUAAUAGAGCCGAAAAUGUAAAGAUGCAAGCUCUGAUGUGUUUUACUGUCUCAGCGUUUCUAGCAGCUGCAAAGAAAUUCUUGAUUUGAAAACAUGACUUGAAGUGUAAUGAAAUUAAGAUAGACAUUUGUUUACUAUUCAUAUCCUGUAACACAAGGAUGUGAAAUGAAACAGGAAUUGUGCAU